rnacentral:ribozyme from 13 species
UUUUUUUUUUUUUUUUUUUUUUUUUUUUUUUACAAU